UACAGAGGUCUCAAGCGUUGUUCGGAUUCAUUGGGCGUAAAGGGUGUGUAGGUGGCGCCGUAAGUCGGGUGUGAAAUCCCCGAGCUUAACUUGGGAAUUGCGCUCGAAACUACGGAGCUGGAGUGUGGCAGAGGAAGGUGGAAUUCCACGUGUAGCGGUGAAAUGCGUAGAGAUGUGGAGGAACACCGAUGGCGAAGGCAGCCUUCUGGGCCAACACUGACGCUCAUGCACGAAAGCGUGGGGAGCAAACAGG
rnacentral:rRNA from 1 species